GAUGAACGCUGGCGGCGUGCCUAAUACAUGCAAGUCGAGCGAACGGACGAGAAGCUUGCUUCUCUGAUGUUAGCGGCGGACGGGUGAGUAACACGUGGAUAACCUACCUAUAAGACUGGGAUAACUUCGGGAAACCGGAGCUAAUACCGGAUGAUAUUUUUAACCGCAUGGUUCAAAAGUGAAAAACGGUCUUGCUGUCACUUAUAGAUGGAUCCGCGCUGCAUUAGCUAGUUGGUAAGGUAACGGCUUACCAAGGCAACGAUGCAUAGCCGACCUGAGAGGGUGAUCGGCCACACUGGAACUGAGACACGGUCCAGACUCCUACGGGAGGCAGCAGUAGGGAAUCUUCCGCAAUGGGCGAAAGCCUGACGGAGCAACGCCGCGUGAGUGAUGAAGGUCUUCGGAUCGUAAAACUCUGUUAUUAGGGAAGAACAUAUGUGUAAGUAACUGUGCACAUCUUGACGGUACCUAAUCAGAAAGCCACGGCUAACUACGUG
rnacentral:rRNA from 1 species